UGCUCGAGUGGCGAACGGGUGAGUAACACGUGGGUGACCUGCACUGCACUUCGGGAUAAGCCUGGGAAACUGGGUCUAAUACCGGAUAGGACCAUGGUGUGGAUACUGUGGUGGAAAGUUUUUUCGGUGUGGGAUGGGCCCGCGGCCUAUCAGCUUGUUGGUGGGGUAAUGGCCUACCAAGGCGGCGACGGGUAGCCGGCCUGAGAGGGUGUACGGCCACAUUGGGACUGAGAUACGGCCCAG
rnacentral:rRNA from 1 species